rnacentral:rRNA from 1 species
UACAGGGGGGUGCAAACGUUGCUCGGAAUUAUUGGGCGUAAAAGCGCACGUAGGCGGUUCGUUUAUGUCAGAUGUGAAAGCCCUUGGCUCAACUGAGGAAGUGCAUCUGAAAACUGGCGAGCUAGAGUAUGUAAGAGGGUCGCGGAAUUCCCGGUGUAGAGGUGAAAUUCGUAGAUAUCGGGAGGAACACCGGUGGCGAAGGCGGCGACCUGGGACAAUACUGACGCUGAGGUGCGAAAGCGUGGGGAGCAAACAGG